rnacentral:rRNA from 1 species
CGGCGAGUAGCGCACGGGUGCGUAACGCGUAGGAAUAUACCAUAUAGUAGGGAAUAACCAUUGGAAACGAUGGCUAAUACCUUAUAGUCCCUUCGGGGUAAAGAUUUAUCGCUAUAUGAUUAGCCUGCGUUAGAUUAGCUAGUUGGUGAGGUAAUUGCUCACCAAGGCUACGAUCUAUAGCUGGUCUGAGAGGAUGAUCAGCCACACUGGAACUGAGACACGGUCCAGACUCC